GUGCUCGCUCGGGUGGCGCAUAUGCCACAACUGGAGCGAUACAGACCAGAGGAGCAUGGCCCCUGCACACGGGUGACAUUCAAAAUUUGUGACACGUUUAUUAAAAUA
ensembl:snRNA U6 U6 spliceosomal RNA